rnacentral:lncRNA from 1 species
AUCUUCGAUUUGGGGAUCUGGAGCUGGACUCCGGAUCGAUCUACAAGGCGUUUUCGCAUGCUCUCACUUCCUUGCGUUCUUUAUUAAGUUUUUUCUUGGAUUUGGUUGUUUACAUGGACAAUGUUCAUAAGAUGAUUGUUUGAGUUUGUGAAUUUCUCUCUUUAAUUGUUUGAUCAUGUCCAACCUCUCUUGAUUUUCUCUUAGAUUUUUUUUCUCUCCUUCUUCUAUUAUUUCAAUAUUAUGUUGUUCUAGAUCUAGUCCCACACCUUUAAGCAUGUCUGACAUCUUCUCUCUCGACAACAUCACCAUCUUUCGUGCUCAAGGUGAUUGGUGCCAUAAUCGCUCGACGCACUUUCAAGAACCUUUGAAGCGUCUUACAUUCUCAACCCUAAUCUUGGUUCAGAUUUGCCAAUACCUCAAAGUUGUUGAUGAAGAAAUCGGCGAAUAAAAGAUGAAAGAAGGAUGAAUCUGCAAUAGAUUUCAAGGUUAUAAUUUGUUUUGUUUACUUUUUUUGUAAUCUUAUUGUCAUCAAAAUUCAAAUCAUAAGAUUAUAGAAAGGCAUUGAGUUAGUAUGAAGUUUGUAAACUUGACUCAGUUUAUUUGUGAUAGUUAUUAUAUUUAGAACCAAAAAUUUGAACAACGUUGAGUGUAGCUUAGAUGGUUAAGUUCUUUGUGUUGGAACCAGUCCAUCAUGAUUUAAGUCUUAGAUUUGACAUUGAUGCUCGCAUUUUUCUGGAUUUAUUACAACUUUGCUAGCGAUGUUUCUUCUGUGAGAGAAGACAUUUUUUUUUCGAUUAUGAAUGUGUAUGUAAGCAUAUGCGUUUAUACUGAGUUUAAAACAAGCACUAUAGAGAUAAAAGAUUCAAAAGUUCAAAUUGGUCUUAGCAUGUCAACACUAAACAUUCAAUUGUAUAACUUACUUUUUUAAUCAUGCUUAAUUAUACUUAAUAAUGUGUACUUGUACAGUUCCUGUCAAUUUAUGUGUCAUGUUCUAUUUUAUAUUUCCUUUGUUCCAAAAUAAGUGUCUUAAUCUUAAUAUAGUUUUAUCUUAAGUUAGUACAAAGUUGAAACACUUAUUUUAAAACGAAAGAAAUAUUAUGACUAAGUUAGACUAGUCUAAUCGUUGACCUAGUUUUGGUUGUCCAUAGCUUAGUUUCCUUAAUUGUGCUUACUAAUACAAUUUUGUGAAUUAAUAUGGCAUAUUCUAUUUUAUACUCUCUCCAUUUUUAAAUGCAAGUCUUUUUAAAGAUUUCACUAUGAAUUACAAACAAAUGUAUAUAAACAUAUUUUAGAGUGGAAUUCACUCAUUUUGCUUAGUAUGCAGUCCGUAGUAAAAUCUAAGACUUAUAUUUAAGAACACAGGGAGUAAUAUAUUACCUAUGUCUCAAAAUUAUUGUCUUAGAUUUAUCUACAUAUAAAUGUAGUCUUGUAGUAAAGUCUCUUGAAAGAUUUAUAUUUAGAAAGACUUAUAUUUAGGAACCGAGGAAGUAGUGACCUUUAAUUUGACCAAGAUUUCACUAUGUUAUGUUAUAUUCAGUCUUUUCCUAAGUAUAAGACAUUUUAAAGAUUUCACUAUGGAGUACAUAUGGAUGUAUAUAAAGAUAUUUUGGAGUGUAGAUUCAUUCAUUUUGCUUUUAUAUAUACUCCCUCCGUACCGAAAUAUAAGUCUUUUAAGAUAUUUCACUAGAUGUCUACAUAUGAAGCAAAAUGAGUGAAUCUAUACUUUAAAGUAUGUCUAUAUACAUCCGUAUGUAGUUCAUUAGUGAAACCUCUAAAAAGACUUAUAUUUAGGAACGGAGGGAGUAAUUCAUAAUGAAAUCUCUACAAGGUCUUGUAUUUAGGAACUGAAGAAGUAUAUCUUAAAUAGCAAUUCAUCUAUGACAACGAAGUUUUGUAUCAAAGGAUGCAACGUUUGACUAGGUUUGUUAAAAAAUAUCAAGAAUUAUGAUACCAAAGUACUCCCUCCGUUCCUAAAUGUAAGACCUUUUAGAGAUUUCAUUACAGAAUAGAUACAGAACAAAAUGAGUGCAUAUAUAUCCUAAAAUAUAACUAUACACAUCCGUAUAUAUAGUUCACAGUGAAAUCUCUAAAAGGUCUUAUAUUUAGGAACGGAGGGAGUACAAAUUUUGUAGCGUAUCGCAUAUUUUGUUGGUCAAAGUUAAGGUUAGUAGAAGAUAGUUUAAAGUAGGAGAUGCUUAAAAGCUUGCCUACAGCCGGUCACUAAUUUUGGGAUCUAACUUGCAUAUUCUUAUAGGUUUUUGAGCGUCUGCUCGUAUGAUGGAUACAUAGCUCCUAUCCCUGGUGAUUGAACUAUUACUGCAAUGUGGAU